AUCAAAAUGUAUAUUAAAAAGAAACGGGUGUACUGUUACCACUGCGAUAACUUAAGGGGAAAAAAAUUUAUCAACAAAAGGAAGCAGUCCGAGAAUUCUUUACGAAAAUAAAAUAAUUAAUUUUGAUUUUUGGUAAACUGUAGGAUAAAGAUCAUCACGAUAAAAGAAACAACUACAGCAAUGAUCAUUCCUAACUGUAGCCAAAAAGACAGCCUUUUUGACUUAGAGUAGCUUUGAACACCGUGGUUGGCAUGUCUCAGACUGUGGGCAUUCUUGUCGAGUAAGCUUCCUGUACGCUCUACCACUUGAUUAUCAGUUACUAGAGCAUUUGUGAAAGAUAAAGCGUUUUCUUUUAGAACAGAUGCCAAAUGCAAAAGUGACUCAGAUAUCUCAGUUUGCAUUGAACGCUGGUUUGUGAGCAAUUGGGCAUUGGAAGCUUCGACAUUCGACAUCUGUUGUCGCUCUCUAAGCUCCCUUUCUUGAAUACUCUGAAGAGCAUGCGCGAUCUCCUUCUCUUGUUUACUUUUUAUCUUUUUCUCUUCAAUUUUCAGCUUUUUUUCCAUGGUAACAUUUAAAUCAUAAAUCCUACCCUGUAAAUCCAUGAUUCUCUUCGAAAGCCCUUGAGGUUCAGCAACUUUGUCAAGUUGGCAUUUUCCUUCUUCCCAUAAUAAUUUCCUUGCAUAAUCAAGAUUCUUUUCAAAUUUUAAAAGUUCCAAUGGGUCUUGAAACUCAUCACGUUUCAACUUGAAUUGUCGCUCCAACCUACUGAUCAAAUCUUUACUCAUUUUAAAGCCUAUGGAGUGAGCAUUUCAUAAGAAUAUCUCUCUCCUAUAAAGAAAGUUAUGUAAAGCGCUUUAAACUGGGGUUCCUGAUAUUUUAUAAGUAGUUUGAGUUGAGUAGGUUAUCAGGUGCAUGUCAUCUUAUACACAUACUAAUUUUCACCUUGUAUGAGUAUUUUGGGUUUCAGA